rnacentral:lncRNA from 1 species
GCCGUGACUGCCACAGGCCCUCGCCUGGGUUCAUGUCGUGGUGAGCCGGUCUUCUUCAUCCAGGCCUUCGAGGGUCCCAGGCCUUUGCCAGGAUGCUGCUGCUAAGAGGGCGCCAAAGGCGACGCGCCGGCGACCAGCUCCUGGCCGAGCCCCGGGGCCUGCAGGAACCCGCCCUUCCCCCCCAACCCCGCGCGGGCCGCUGAGCCUCGGGACCUGAGCCUGGAGAACUCGGCCCCAGGGCGCCGCCUAGAGGUCGGUCGCGGCCUCGGCCUUACUCCCCGGCGACCACAGAGCUGCCUGCGCCAGCUGCCGCCAGAAAUUACAAACAAAACAAAACAAAACUAAUUCCAAGCUUGGCCCGGAGGCUAGGCUUUUGGCACCUCUGACUUUUCCGAAACGGCCUCCCCUCUGCCCUAUAAGAAAGGACCUGUGUUCUGCGCUGCCUCUUAUGAUCUAAGCUGUCCAGCCCCCUCCAGUGGUGCUAGAACUGCUUUCUCUUCAAGGAAGAAGAGAAGCCAGAAGUCCCUGAAUCUUGCAGCUUGGCCAUCGAUUUUCUGACUAAUUUGGAGAUGGACGUGUUUUUGGAAGAGUAUUUGGAAAACCUUUUGGGGUGAAAAGAAGUUCCUCCGUGGCCUCUGCUCGCUGAGUAACCGAGCUCAGUGAUGCAUGAACACUGCUCUGGAAUUUGAAAGUUGGCUGCUCUGGGGCCAGGUGACCUUGAACAGAUACAGUGGGCACCUGUAGAAAGGGUCUGAGGGGUCUGUUGGCUCUGUGCAGACUUUAAAUUUUCAGACUGAGCAGUGGCCUGGGCUCUGGGGAUGAGGGCUGGGAAGGCGCAAAGCUCCUAAAAAUGCUCGCAAAGUGUGUGCGUGCGCACAGGUGUGUUGCACAAAAGCUGUGGUGUCUUCCAUUUUUCCAGAACCCCAGGGAGUGGCAGAGACCAAGCUGCCAGGAGGGGAUGUAAACCGUUUGAAGUUCAUCAACACGGUGAAGUUUUAUUGGAUUUCCGGUCCCCAAGAUUUAUACCCAAGAGGGGGAGUGGGCGGCCAGGCAGACUCCCUCCUUACCUCGGGGUUUCCCUGCCGGACACGUGGCCGCUCAGACUGUCGCCUCUGGGACAAGGCAGGAGGGGGCCAGGGUGACCUGGAUGGACUGGCUCGAGCAAUGCACCUGGUAACUGGUAACGGCGGAGUCGCGGUCCCCACUCCCUCAGGUGAGGUGCUGUCUGUGGAGCUCGGGUAUGUGGUGUCUGCACACGGUGAGGCACGGGGGGGUGGGGGGACACGGGUGGCAGGGGAGAGGGCCCAGUCUGUAGGGCAGGAGGAGGAAGAAGCGCACAUGUGCCCUGGGUCCCGGUCCCAGUGCUCUUGUCACCUGGGGCAGCUCCUCAGGUCUGUGCCGCCGCCGCCGAGCCCCAGACCUUUCUGCAGCCUGAUUUCUGUCCAUCCAAGUCACUCUGCUGCCCCCUCCGAAUCCCCCUUUUCCCUCUGCUCCCCAGGGGCCCCGGUACUUACUGACACCCCUUUUCCAUCUCUUUGUUGCUUUCUUUCUCCGCACCACGUCUCCCCACUCCCCUGGCUACAGCCCAGUCUUAGAGCUGGGGACCUUGAAGGGCUGGAAGAUUUGACCUCUCAGAGCCUCCUGGGUGGCCAGUGACCCCGAGCACAGGGACUGGCCAGGUGGCUGGCGCCCGUGGGUGUACCUUUGUAACGGGGCGAAGCUGUGAGUCCUUUCAUCUGCGGAGAGUCCCCACUUCAGUGACAGAUGCCAACCAGGUAUCUCCAAGCGGCCCUGCCUGAGCUGGAGUUGGUUAGAAAAACAGAAGUUUCUGGAAUCUGAGUCGCCAGGGCCAGCGCUGAGCCCCUUUCACCUACAGUCCUGGGUCCAGUUCUUCAGACGAGUUGUUUACUGGCAGCUGGGUCUGUGGGAAAUAAGUGAAGCAGAAGAAGUAAGUUCAGCGGACCCUGAUCCAGUCUCCCCCUCAAAGCGUCCCACUCACCGGCUGAUUCGGGCCAGGAUCCACCUCUGCUCUGCAAACCCUGGCCCCUUCCUCUGCUGCCCUGGACCCCAGCGUGGCCAGGGGCUGCUGCUUUUUCCUGUGCAGUCUUCCCAGGCCACUGGCCCCAGCUGUGUUCAGGCUCCGGUGCAGGACUGGCGCUGGUCUGGCGGGAGGCUGUGAGGUAGGGCAGGGUCCUCCUUUCUCUGUAGGGCUAGGGGUGGGGUACACAGCAGUUCUGCCCUCUCAGGACCAAGCGACUCCCGUGGAGGUGACCCCUCUAGUAGAUAUCUUUAGACAGACGAUGGGCUCCACCAUCCUGUUUGCUCCCUUCUUUCAUGGUGGGUACCAUUAUCUGGGGAGAAAAUAAUGUUUGGAGGGUCCCAGGUUCUCAGAGCUUCUAGGCCAGGGGCGCCCUCUCAGUGGCCCUUUUAAUCAUUUCCCUGAGCUGGAGUUGAACUCCAGCCUGGGCCAGCACUGCUUUCUAGAAAGGCUUGGGGUGGGGGCUUGUUCCCUGGCCCAGCCGCUGCACCACCCAGGAGGUGAGGUGGGGUGCAGACCCCAGGGCUGGGGGGCAAGUUCAUUCUGUCCCCUCUAAUCAUCUCUGGGAGAAGCCUCAGACCUCCAUAACCUGUCAUCUUCAAAUUGUUCCUAUUCUCCGCUUCUUUGUGACGCAAAGACUAAGCCCGGGUCUCAGAAAAAAGGCCUGUGUCCCCUCCCUCACAGGUACCCGGGAGCCACUGGGAACUGGGGACAAUUCUCCAGGCAGUUAGAAACCCACAGAGCUGAACCAGGCCUGCCUGCCGGAACAGCUUCCGCCUUAAGCUUAAAUGUCUGUCUUUCUCUAACUUCUUCCUAAAUUAGGCUGCCUCAAAGCCAGGACAGGGCAGGGAAAGCAGGAGGGUGGCAGUCAGAGCCUGGUGCCUGUACAGCUCGGCUCUUAAGGACAGCCCAGCGCCGUGACUUUUCCAUAAAUAAAAGGCCCAGCCCCACCGUUCCCAUGUCCUUUUGGGCCCUAAUUUAUAAGCUACAGAAAAUCAUAUACUCAGCCGCCAUGCUUCGUAACACCAUUAUUUAUGGCAGGGGAGGAGACUUCUUUUUUUUUUUUUUUUUGCCCGAAGAGGAUAUUUAUUACAGGUAAAGCCCACGGCACACUCCACACGUCUGACAAAUCGAGAACAGGUGCUUUGCCCUAACUUCGAUCCAUUCGCUCCAGACCCAGUUUUCUCGCUGGCGAGUCUGGGGAGCUCCCUGACUUCCCCAAGCCCCCAGAUGCUACUUAAAAGAAUUUCCAUUGGAUUUUGGUUUCUCCCCGCUUGGUCCUACGGAAAAAGCAGACCUUCACGCUGUUUGGUUCCAGAUCUGCGGGCCCAUCGCCCUCGGAGAGAGCUUGGGUUAGGAGGGGGCCAGCUGGGCGCCAGCAUUGAUCUUUAAAAAAUCAUUUUGAAAUCGCC